AUCACACUGGCUGUCCCAGCCUUGACUUCCUUGGUCUGUUAUGUGUGUUGACUGAGAUGAAUUCUGGGAAGAGAUGUGAGUGGAUUCUCCAUCAGAGUCACUGAAAAGCUUUGAAUACUUCCCACUGUGGUGUGUCUGCAUCAGCAUUUUGCUGGGGGAGUGUCAUAGGGCCCAGACCUGCCUGCAGUGAAGGAUUUUGUUUUCAAUUAUAUCUGUGUGUGUAUCUGUGUAUGAGUACGUGCCCAUGAAUGAAGUGCCUGAGAAGGCCAGCAGUGUUAGAUUCCUGGAGCUGGAGUUGGAGGCAGUUGUGAGCCAACUAACAUGGAUGCUGAUUUAAUACUUCCUGUGUGUGGACAAUCCAUGGAACAUUGUAAGAACUAAGGGAUAUGAAGGCCUGGUCAAUAAACUUGUAAAAAAUGAUCUGUAAACCUACAAGACUAGUUCUACACCCUCUGCCCUUGAGCCUUCUUUGUGCGUGAGCCACCUUUCUUGAUAAGUGUAGCUCCAACCCCUCAUCAAAUAAGCCUCUCUUUACAAUAAAUGGAGGCCAUCGCAGAAAACCACAACUGAACACAGUGCAGACAUCAACGGACCAUGAAGAGCACAGCCCCAACCGAUACAUCUACAUCAUAGCUUCUGCAUCUAUGGCUCAGGCAGUAUACUACUGGGGAAGAGGAGACAGAAAGACUGUAAAUAAGCCAAAAUAGAAGUCUGCUGAGAAAGUCUCUCCUAGAAAUGUCUGUAUAAACAAGAUGGGAACAUUGACAAUAUGAAUCGACAUGUUAAUGUGGAAGGGGGAAAUUUUCCAGAGUUCCAACCCUAGACAGAACUACAAGCAACUAAUGACUGCUGGGAGGAGAAUUAGCCUCUCCAGGGAUGAGCCCCCUUACUAGUCAUCCAAUGCAAAAUUAUCAGCCCUGAAACCAUACAUACAACAAAAACAAGUUGUACUUCUGUAUGUUUGUGCAUAUACAUAUGUCCAUGUGUAUAUGUGUAAUAAUAAAAGGUUAUCAAAUUGGGGAAUAUGGGAGGGGCUAGAGAAAGGAAAAGGAAGGAAAGUCAUGAUCACAUUUUAAAACCCACUCAAUAAAACCAAUGACAUGUA